rnacentral:rRNA from 1 species
UAAGCGGGAUGUGAAUCCAAGGGCUCAACCCUUGAACUGCAUUUCGAACCGGCAGACUUGAGAAUGGGAGAGGAAGCUGGAAUUCCUAGUGUAGGAGUGAAAUCCGUAGAUAUUAGGAGGAACACCAAUGGCGAAGGCAGGCUUCUGGCCCAUUUCUGACGCUGAGGCACGAAAGCGUGGGGAGCGAACGGGAUUAGAUACCCCGGUAGUCCACGCCGUAAACGAUGGAUACUA